rnacentral:rRNA from 1 species
GACGUAGGAGGCGAGCGUUAUCCGGAUUUACUGGGCUUAAAGGGUGUGCAGGCGGGUCGAACAGUCGUGCAUGAAAGCCGUUCGCUCAACGGACGGAGGCUGUGCGAUACUAUCGACCUAGAGGGUGUCAGAGGGACGCGGAAUUCCGGGUGUAGUGGUGAAAUGCGUAGAUAUCCGGAAGAACACCAGAGGCGAAGGCGGCGUUCUAGGGCAUACCUGACGCUCAGACACGACAGCAUGGGGAG